rnacentral:snoRNA from 1 species
GUUGUUGAUGAUGAAUUUCAAUUCCUUACCUACAUUGUUUGAUUUUAAUGAAAACAAACUAUUUUCUGAAGCAAAC